AUAGCGGCGUUUUUAUUAAAAACGCCACAAAAAAUUUACUUUAAAAAAAUAG
rfam:Gossypium raimondii Chr03_contig_621, whole genome shotgun sequence.